CACACACACACACACACACACACACCAUGUGAGCAUGAAGGAAGAGCUGAGAAGCAAUCCCAGAGACAAGGGGAAAGGCACCAAGCAAGACCGGAUUCUUGUCGUCAGAAGGAGCAGAGCCAUACUGUACUUUUUUGUUGGAUUCCCAGCCUCAGAGUCCCACCCACCCCUACCCUGUUCUGUGCCGGUUAGGGAAGAAGAACUUCUGUUAUGUCCAUCAACAGAGAACAUCAGCGGUCUCUAACUUCUGCCCAGGGGAACCUGCAGGUGUCGGAGACAGUGGAAUGGCUUCAGAUGAUGAAUCAGGGAGGCUUUCUGAUGUCCUCUGCUCUCUGGCCCUCCACCGUUCAUUCUCCUGUGUAAGUGCCAGUGUCUGUUUCUUUCUCCAGCCUCACGCUCUAAACAAGAUGCCUCUGGCAGGAGGCCUGGGUAGAUGGAGUCUUCCAAGUCCAAUGCAACUUCACUGUUCCUGACUUAUGAAGAGAGCUGGAAGGAGUGACGGAAAGGCCAUGAGGAGACCUGGUUUCUUGAACCAUAUGAAUCAGUGCCCACCAGUGACCUGCAGAGACUCCACCCACCAGUGUCCUGCAGAGACCCCGACGCUGGCCCUGGCCCGGGCCCUGUGCCGGCUGACUUCUGCUCUAAGUCCAAAUGUUUGCUCAUCAAGACGUCUUUGCGGACACGCACACUUGCCUGGAGACCUCAUGCACACAUGUGUAAGCACUCACGUGGACCCGAGGGUUUUGCAGCCUCACGGGAACAGUGCUCAUGGAGGAAGUCCUGUGUGAUUCAUUCUGUUUGUCUGCUUGGCUGAUGUUUCCAGUUUCCGUGUAAUUUGCUCCUUUUGCAUUAAGACAGAAGUAAUGGUG
rnacentral:lncRNA from 1 species